rnacentral:rRNA from 1 species
GACGAACGCUGGCGGCGUGCUUAACACAUGCAAGUCGAACGGAAAGGCCCUGCUUUCGUGGGGUGCCCGAGUGGCGAACGGGUGAGUAACACGGGAGUAUCCUGGCCUGGACUUUGGGAUAACUUCAGGAAACUGGGGCUAAUACCGGAUGGGAGCGCCUGCUGCAGGGUGGGCGUUGGAAAGUUUGGGCUGUUGGGGAUGGACGCGCGGCUUAUUAGCUUGUUGGUGGGGUAGUGGCUUACCAAGGCAUUGGCGGGUAGCCGGCCUGAGAGGGUGACCGGGCACAUUGGGACUGAGAGACGGACCAGACUGCAACGGGAGACAGCAGUGGAGAGUAUUACCCAAUGGGGGGGAGCCUGAUGAGGCGACGCCGCGUGCGGGAUGACGGCCUUCGGGUUGUGAACCGCAUUCGCCUGUGACGAAGCGUGAGUGACGGUAAUGGGUGAAGAAGCACCGGCUAACUUCGUG